rnacentral:lncRNA from 1 species
UGUCACUGCUGUCAGAACAGGGAAUUUUCUUCAAAGAACUCUAACAAGAUAGACCUGUUUUCUGUAAAGCAGUCUGGAUUGUCUCUCUUAGCAAAGAAUUUUUUUUUUCCAACAGACUGAGUUCCAGUAAUUCAUCUUGCCAAAUAUUUGUUGCAACGAUGCUUUCUUUAAUGUUCAUAGCAUUGAUUAUUUAAAAUUUUAUAGAGACCUGCACAGAAGAUAAGUGGCAUUUUCAAAGAAUUGAGGACUAAUUUGCAUGUGUGCAUUUCAAGAGACAGUAAGAGAGUCCAACUGCCUGUGCAGACCUGAGGAGCUGGAGGCGAGGGGCUGACUCCUUCAGGUCUGUAAUAAUCUGGUGACAUAAAACACAUUGCAUCAGCGUGUCCUUGGCCACCUGCCGCCUGUUACAAUCCUCUGUCUCUGCCUCAGAUGAAUGGUCCCUGUCUUGGCAGCACCAACCAGUCUCCAGGCUGCUCAAUAUAGAUGUGCCGCAAGUCCUGUCAUGCAGGUUUUGUUUGUUUUACUGUCAGGGUGGCUGAGCAUUGACACAGGCCAUCCAGAGUCACUGGAGUCUUUGUCUUUGGAGAUAGUCUAUAUCUGACUGCACAUAGUCAAAGGCAGUGGACUUAGAUUGCCCUGCUUGAGCAAGGGUUUGGACCAGAUGACCUCAGAGGUGCCUCCAGCCUCAACUGUUCUGUGAUCUGGAUGCUUUGUGGAAGAGAGGGAAACAAAUCUUGGCGGUAGUAAUGAAUACAAACUAGUCUGGGGAAAAUGUCAGUGAUGCCAGUUCAGGCAGAAAGAAAGUGGAGGCACAGCGCAGCCUCAGCGGUGCUUGCCCACGUCUCCAGGAGCGCAGCCUGCAGCCAGCCGGGUGCAGACAGCACGAGCUCUGAUGUGGUGGGAUUGAAGCCGGGCUGCACGCUGCAGCCAGGCGCCGAGGGAACGCGUUCCCACCGCGGAACUCAGCCGGGUGCUCCCGCUGCCCCUGCCGCCUUCAGCCGGACGAGGCUCGGCCGUCCCGCUCUGCACACCGCCCUCCGGAGAGGCACCGGGCCGGCCCCGCGGGACGUCAGGGCAAAGACGGCUCUGCCCGCUGCGUCCUGCGUUCUUGGCCGCCCGCACCCGUGAGCAGCUGCCUCCUUCUCCUUGUCCUCCCGGGACGUUCCCGAGCUCAGAGCUGCGGGCGUGCCAGGCAGCGCUCUGCUGAGCCCCAGCCCCGCGCAGCUCCGCGGUUACCGGCGCGGUCCCGCACGUCUCCCAUCCCCUGCAGCGCUGCCAGCCCCGCUCCGUCCCUUGUCCUGCUGGUUUCCCUGCUGCUAGCGUCACGGCCAGCUUCUUAACUACAGAUUAUUUAACUUGAUAUGAAUUUGAAAGUGAUACAGGAUAUGAGAUGGAAUCAUAUCUUCUAGAAAUAAAUGGAAAACCGUUGAUUUUGGAAUGAGUAUG